ensembl:lncRNA
CCCACUAUUUUUUCUCCCUAUACCCUUUUACACUAUUCUCCUCUUAAAGUGUGCCCACUUCUCUACUUUGCGUAUUUGCCUUUUUCAUUUGCUUUGAAUUUUCUUUUUGUUAUAAUGCUUUACAGUAAAAUUGUGUUUGUUAACAUUAGUUAGUGUCCAUAUGGUCUGAAAAUUCAAAAUUCUUUGUAAUGAACAAUUGUAUUUUGAUAAAAAAAAAAAAAAAAGAUUUACAAAUAUGAAUGAAUGCAAUAAUAAAAAAAAAAUCUUAGUUUAUUGGUAAUGAAGUAACUAAUGAUAAAUAAAACUUUACUGUAAAGUGGUUUUAUGUGCCUCCCUCCAUCCCGUUUCGGUCUGAACACUUUAUUGCAUUGAUGGUGGUAGUUUAAGAGUGUAUCGUCUUGAUUUCAUUAAGCCACUGCCUUAAUGAGUGAGUCGGUCAGUCAUUUAAUUAAUGGAUUCGUUCGAAACAGAUGAUUCAUUCUGAAAAAAAAGUAAGCAACUGUUUUUAUGAAUGGGUCAGUGAAUCAUUUACUCACGCAAAUUUAUUCAGUAAACACCGCUGUGUGUUGCUGCAGAGCACAACAACAUGCUUUGUUUGGAACCAUUUCCUUUGCGAUAUAUGUCUUUUUUUAUUAUCUUGUUUAUUGAAUUGUUGCCCUGACACGAAAAGUCUGCCACAGACCGUGCUAAACAAACAUUAUAACUGUGUGUGUGUGUCCUAAAGACUGUGCUGCGCAACCGUUAAGUGUUAGAUGUUCAACAUGUAACGUUAAAUCAGACACAAUUUAAAACCGAAAAAGAAAUAUAAUACUAUGAUUAAAAGUCACAGAUACCUGAAGCUCUUGUAUCUUGGCGUUCAAGUGUUGGUUGGGGAAUUUUGAAAUAUCCAUUUUAAUUUUUAAAUAAAUUGAUCUAGUAAAAUACUACACGCCUGGCUCCAAAAGAUCUCAUAUCGUUGGCUGGAUCGUACAGACGCUCAUCGAUGGUUGGCCAGUUUACAUGUCAGUCAGAAGCACUAGACUCAGUGGGCGGUUUUUGUCGGGUGUGAAUGACAACGCGUAAAUUGACAGACACUGUAGACGUGAGAGUCGAGAGAUAUUUAUUUAUUUAUUUAAAUUCUAAUAUAAAUUACUUUAUUGGGCAUGAAAAUUCAUUGAUGGCAUGGUGGUAAUAAAAACAUUCGGGGCUCCAGCCCCCUUAGCCCAUCCCUAACGCCGCCCCUGGUGCACCGUGUAAACACCAGUGUGUGUGAAUUACUGUAUAAUGCAUCACAGUACAGAGACUCUGGGUUUGUAUUUGUUCAGAUGAUGGCAGCGCUACUCCGGUCCAGGACGAGCAGGAGGAGGCCAGACCCGCGUCACCGCAGUCUGAGGUCAGUCUGGGGAUUUGGGUUUAGUGCUCGACUUCAAGAAAUAAAAUAUAUUGACCAUCAGGUCGUCCGAGAUCAGGAUGAGCAAUGGAUGCUCUGCAGUGAAUGGGUGCCGUCAGAAUGAGAGUCCAAACAGCUGAUAAAAACAUCACAAUAAUCCACAAGUAAUCCUGAUGGACUGGAGUGGUGUGGAUUACUUGUGGAUUAUUGUGAUGUUUUUAUCAGCUGUUUGGACUCUCAUUCUGACGGCACCCAUUCACUGCAGAGCAUCCAUUGCUGAGACACUGAUGCAAUGCUACAUUUCUCCAAAUCUGAUGAAGAAACAAACUCAUCCAGAUCUCGGACCUGAGGGUUAAUCAGGGGUCUACAGCACGGUGCUGUCGCUCGAGGUCUGAUUGAGGUUUGGAUUUUUUUUUAAUUAUCCCGUAACGCAUUUUAAUUCUCAUUAAACCCGUGUUUGAUUCUCGGGAUUUGAAAAACUCUCAGUAAAUACAGCUCUGCUUUAAUCAAAGUUAUUGAGAGUCUCACGCAGAGUAGUUUCGGUUUGUGUGAAAGCAUGACUGAAGGAGGGAAAUUAUGUGAAAGAAUAUAUGAAGUUAUGUGAGGAUGCUACUGUACUCUGUUCUGCUGUUCACAAGCGCCACCUGCUGGCAAACUGUGCUUUUACAAUUUCAUUCGAUCUGUCUGACCUGUUUUUGUUCAGACCAAUGGGAAAAUCAGAACACACUUUUAAUGUAAAUCUUAACGGGUGAUUUUUAGAAAGCACAUUAGCUUUUAUGAAGCAGAUCAAAUUUAAUUUAUCAUUCCGACUCUUAUUUUUUUAUUAAAAAAAGAUAUAAAGGCCGAUGUGUUAUAGUUUUAUUUUUACAAAUGGUCAAAGCUUUGUUUGAAAAUGUAGUUCAUGUCAGUAGAUAACAUAUUUUUUGUUAGUUUAUAAUGUGGCUGUGCAUUUUUUUGGUCUUAUUUCAUUAUUUAUGCGAACAUGCAAAAGUGGAAAAAAAGUGCUGCUACUUUUAUUUGUUGACUUUUCUCCUAAAACAUGACAAAAUGAUUUCAG